rnacentral:rRNA from 1 species
UACGAGAACCCCAAGCGUUAUCCGGAAUCAUUGGGCGUAAAGGGUGUGUAGGUGGUGUGGUUAGUCUUCUGUCAAAAUCUCGGGCUUAACCCGAGUCUUGCAGAGGAAACGGCCACACUCGAGGAUGCGAGAGGUGAAUGGAACUCAUGGAGUAGGGGUAAUAUCCGUUGAUAUCAUGGGGAACACCAAAAGCGAAGGCAAUUCACUGGCGCAUUCCUGACACUGAAACACCGAAAGACGUGG